AACAGAUCCUCUCUCCUAAAUAGUGUGUAGGAUGAAAGCAAAAUGUUAAAUCAGUAACUAAAUAUUCCAGCUGCAGUGACUAGACUGUUUACUGCACACUUCUGCUGUCACGCUGUUCUUACAGACUGUGAGCCUGCGGUCCGCCGUCCGGGCUGUGUGCGCAUUUGGAGCAAGAUAAAUUAGUGGCUUCAGAGCAUUUAAACAAUCAUGGCAGUGGUUGAAUCAGGACAAAGUUUUGUGUCGUGUCAGAGCAUCCCAGACUGCCAGAAUGGCCGGGGCUGGAAGGGUCCUCGGGGAGAGGGCCGGUCCCUGCUGGCUGCAGCCUGCUGGCUCGGCUCGGCUUUGCAAGGCAGAGCGGAGACCAGCGGCGCGCGUGCUGCGCUCCUGUCGAGUGUGCUCGGCUGUGACACUCCCAGGCUGGCCUGGGGAGCCGGGCGUUCUGACGGUGCGGUGGUCCCAGUUGCACACACGUGCGGGAGGUGUGUGUCACAUCACCGGGGCGGAGGAAUGAAAAUCUUUGAGAGUGGCUCCUCGCAUGCUGUUGGUGGCUCACGGUCCCGCAGACCCAGCUCUGUUGGGGUGUCUGCGGGUUUCCCGCAGCCCGCGGCUCCUGUGCUUGGUGUCCUGGCCGCGUGGUGUCCUGGUGCUCGGCCUGGCUUCCCAGCUGCGACACACAUUGUUGGUUAGCACGUCUCAUUAACUGGAGUACUGCUGGAUGUUCUGGGAGCGCUCUCAGCGCUCGGAGCGGCAGGACGCCGGUGGAGGGGUGGGUGUCACUGUGCCGGGCCGUCGGGACGUGGGUGAAGCGCAGAGUUUGUCUUGGGGCGUUCAGGGGAUAAGUGGCUGUCCCUCUGAGGAGAGGCAGCGUGAUACGAAGUCUGGAAGGCUAAGGUAUUGUAUAUUUCCUUUUCCUCAAACACAAGUAAAAUAAAAAAUACAAAGAGAUAUACGUAAA